CGUAACAAGGUAGCUGUAGGGGAACCUGCUGCUGGAUCAUUA
rnacentral:rRNA from 1 species